UACGUAGGGGGCAAGCGUUGUCCGGAAUUAUUGGGCGUAAAGCGCGCGCAGGCGGUCAUUUAAGUCUGGUGUUUAAUCCUGGGGCUCAACCCCAGUUCGCAUGGGAAACUGGAUGACUUGAGUGUAGGAGAGGAAAGUGGAAUUCCACGUGUAGCGGUGAAAUGCGUAGAGAUGUGGAGGAACACCAGUGGCGAAGGCGACUUCUGGGCCUAUAACUGACGCUGAGGCGCGAAAGCGUGGGGAGCAAACAGGAUUAGAACUACCGUACGUAAGUCCA
rnacentral:rRNA from 1 species